GAACUAUAGAGUUUGAUCCUGGCUCAGAUUGAACGCUGGCGGCAUGCCUUACACAUGCAAGUCGAACGGCAGCACGGGAGCAAUCCUGGUGGCGAGUGGCGAACGGGUGAGUAAUAUAUCGGAACGUGCCCAGUCGUGGGGGAUAACGCAGCGAAAGCUGUGCUAAUACCGCAUACGAUCUCUGGAUGAAAGCGGGGGACUCAGCAAUGGGCCUCGCGCGAUUGGAGCGGCCGAUAUCAGAUUAGCUAGUUGGUGGGGUAAAAGCUCACCAAGGCGACGAUCUGUAGCUGGUCUGAGAGGACGACCAGCCACACUGGAACUGAGACACGGUCCAGACUCCUACGGGAGGCAGCAGUGGGGAAUUUUGGACAAUGGGCGCAAGCCUGAUCCAGCAAUGCCGCGUGCAGGAUGAAGGCCUUCGGGUUGUAAACUGCUUUUGUACGGAACGAAAAGGUUCUCUUUAAUAAAGAGGGCUCAUGACGGUACCGU
rnacentral:rRNA from 1 species